AUUGAACGCUGGCGGCAGGCCUAACACAUGCAAGUCGAACGAGUGGCGGACGGGUGAGAAAUGUCUGGGACACUGCCAGAUGGAUGGGAAUAACUCCUGGAACCGGUAGCUAAUACCGCAUACCAUCAGAUGUGCCAAGAUGGGAUUAGCUUGUUGGUGGGGUAACGGCUCACCAAGGCAACGAUCCCUAGCUGGUCUGAGAGGUUGACCAGCCACACUGGAACUGAGACACGGUCCAGACUCCUACGGGAGGCAGCAGUGGGGAAUAUUGCACAAUGGGCGCAAGCCUGAUGCAGCCAUGCCGCGUGUAUGAAGAAGGCCUUCGGGUUGUAAAGUACUUUCAGCGGGGAGGCGUUACCCGCAGAAGAAGCACCGGCUAACUCCGUGCCAGCAGCCGCGGUAAUAC
rnacentral:rRNA from 1 species